UGGCAUCUACCAUUUCUGCAUACAUAAUCACCCACCCCUUUCACUAUCCAUUCCCAAGAGUUUAUUAUAAAUUAUUACAGCCCGGAAUGAAGUAAAAAAUACAUCAAAAAAUAAAAGUACAACCAAGGAGAGCAUGUUUCAGACUUCUUUUCUGAAAUAUGAGGUAAACCAAAACCAUGUGAUCAUGAUCCAAAGCCUUUCUCACAUGAGAGUGUGUCAAAGUUCUCUAAGAGUCUCAAAUGAAUUCUGGGCAGUGCUUACACCCAAAUGUAUUACCAGAUUUGGAUAGGUGCAGUGUGGAAAGGCCAACCCUCAAGUGUCUAAGUUCAUAGGGAACUCAAGGUCCCAAGGCAAGGCUCACAAGAAAGGGCCAGAACUCAAAGACUAGGAGAGAGUGCAAGUGCAGAAACAGAAUUCUGAGAGGGGGAAAGGAAAAGGGACAACUACAAAUAAAUACAUAUAGGGUUACAUGGGAAUGAGGAGCUUGUAAAGAGCCUGUUUUUUAAGAAAAGACAGAAUUUAGGCAUGCUCAGUAAUGGAGGAUGCUAGCAUGCCAUAAGCUUGUCAAAACACACAUUAAUAGAGGCUAGGAUCCCAAGGGAUAAGGUUUGCUUCAUGGGCAACAAUUUACAUAUUGCCAUUCUCCAAACCAUAGCAAAAAACACACAAGGGGGAGGGGGAAUAGGGAUUCAUAAUAGAACAUGCAGGAAAAGAAACCAGCAUGCUAGAAUGAGAGCUGAACUUUACAUAAGCAGUAAACAUGGAUACAAAAGCAAUAAACACAUUGUUUUGGUGGUGAAACUUAAAUCAGAACACACCAGUUUCAAAGAAAUACAAUAAAGAAGAGCAUUAGACCUUGUAAACAUGCCACAAUGCAAGCAAAUAAGAAAGAAUACUAUUACCUGUAAGUGUAGUUUCAGAAAAACUGUGAGUGAGUGAUGCCUUUGUGCUAAUGAAAGAGUAGCGUAUUUAUAGUGUGAAAAAUAAGCAGAAAUAAGGUAAGAAAACAAUUAAGGUACUGGGGUAUCAUUAAAAUCAAUCAAUACAAGACUUUCCUUAAUUAAGGAACUCAAAUUCAAGCGAUAAAACUAUUAAAGGGAAAAAAUUAAAUAAGUAUCUUGUGCAAAGCAUGCAAUUAGGGGUAAAUACAUAAGAAGUUGCUUAAUGGCAGAAUUUUUGAAAUACACGGUUACAUAAAUAAGGCAAGAAAACCAACUACUAGCCAGUAAAUCAAGGAGCAGAGAUUUUGUAAUCACUGGUCCAUGAAUGAACCAACUCAGAAAAAACUAAGAAAAGUUUUGACUUAAGUCGAGUCGUAGGGGAAUCAGCAAACAAGGAAAGAAAUCAAUCAGACCCAUACCGAAGGAAGUCUGAACUAAUCACAAAUUUGAAAGCCAUUUAUAGAGGAAAGUUUGGCAUAUAUAAAGAGUAUACAAACAUGUUAAGUUGACAGAAGAUGUCGUUCUAUUGCAAAAAUCAGUAGAUAAUAAAUUACAGGAGCAUGGUAGUCACAUAGGUUAGCAAUGUUGAAGAGAAGUAGCAUCUAGUAGCAUAUAAUGAUCCAUUGUAAAUGACAUUAGAAGAGUUUAGUGGGAAAUCAGAAUUGCUUAAAGAGAUAGAGGUUGAAACAAAGAUUUCGAGACUCAAUUGAGAAAAAAAUUCAGAAAAACUCGAAAUAGUUAGGGUUUCUGAAAUCAAAUAGUGUUAAAGAUAAAGAACAAACACAUCACAUAGCCAAUGUUCUCAAACUCAAAUAAACCAUCAAAUUCUAGGGUUUUACCAUCAAUCGAAUACCGAGAUAAGAGGACAAGCAAUCAAGAAAACAAAAGAUACUAGUCGAAUCAAGUUCAAAGGUCUCAGAAAGGAACUAGGACCUUCGAUAUGCUUUUUCAGUAACAAAAACUUCAUAAGAAAUAUAGUAAAAGGGAAACAUGUGAAACACAGUAGAAGAGCUCAAAGAAAACGUAGUAGAAGAAGCUAAAAGAAACAUAGUAGAAGAAACUAAAAAACAUGGUAGAGGAAACUGAUAAGAACAUGGUAGCAGAAACUUAACAAGAACACAAUAGAAGAAACGUAGUAGAAGAAACAUAAUUGAAGAAACACACAAGAAAAAAAUAAAAUCAGAUAGACAUCUGAAAAAAUCGUAGAUCGGAAAAUAAUGGUUUUGAAAGCAUCACUUUUGAAAAAUAUAUCAGAAAAUCGUUUAAAAGCUUAGGGAGAGCAUAGAUAUGGAACAAAUCUAAAAAGAUAAAAAAAACCUCAAAGGCUAGGUUUUCGGAGGAACCCAAACAGUGAGAAAGGCUUGGAUCUAAGCAGGAGGAGUCGAGGCCAGACUCGAAACAGACAUGGCUUGCCGGAGAAGGCCGUAAAGCUUGAAUCAACAGAGGUGUGGACCCAGAUCUUUAUGGCCAGGGCAUGAAAUUUUAGUAACCAAACAUGGAGGAGCCAUAAAAGGCUGGUGGGUGAUGAAACCACCAUAGAUUCAGGCCAGGAGGUGGCUGGAGAAGAUGGAUGAGCCUCAUCAUAGUGGAGGGGAAGGGGAAAGGUUCUUGAGCAAACCAGAGAUAGAGAGAUAGAGAGAGAGUCG
rnacentral:lncRNA from 1 species